rnacentral:rRNA from 1 species
UACGAAGGGGGCUAGCGUUGCUCGGAAUCACUGGGCGUAAAGCGCGCGUAGGUGGUUCGUCAAGUUCGGCGUGAAAUCUCCAGGCUCAACUUGGAGGGGUCGUCGAAGACUGGGGGGACUAGGGUCUGGCAGAGGCCGGUAGAAUUCCGGUCGGAGCGGUGAAAUGCGUAGAGAUCGGGAGGAACACCAGUGGCGAAGGCGGUUGCCUGGAGCUUUGCUGACGCUGAGGCGCGAAAGCGUGGGGAGCGAUCCGG